CCGUAGCCCUGAUGGGAACGGCAUCCUUUUUUGGCAUUGCGAAGUAAACUUCAAUCAAGAUAAACUCUCGCCGUUCGCAAUGACAAAAAAGAUAUAGUGGACAGCAGGUUCCCGG
rnacentral:sRNA from 1 species